rnacentral:pre_miRNA from 13 species
GAUCGAGAAUACAGUGCAUUCAUCCAUAAAGUAAAAAGCGCUACUAAAAGUUCUAUACAGUGUAGUGUUUCCUACUUUAUGGACGAGUGGACUGUGGGCGACGGUG